CUGGCCUUUGGACGGGAGGAAUGGGUUGGGGGGGUCUCUCAGAGUUCUUUGGGUGGGGGCGGGGGUGGAUACCGGUCCAAGUUCUUGACGUGUCGCCCGCUGGGUAGGGGGAAGGUCUCUUGUUGGGCAGGGGCUGGUGGGAGCUGGGGGGAUGUCUCCUUUCCCUUCGGAGAAAAGCGCUCAUUCAAGGUUGCAUAGGAAGGAAAGCCAGGUUGGGGACCAGCCCUGUGCAGCUUGGGGUCCCCGUGCCUUUUGGCUGAAGGAGGAGGUUAAAAGGGCCCAGACUGAACCCCGACCCCUCUGUCUUAGCCCCAGACUGUUUUCUGAUUUUAGCACUAGAUUUGGCUGCCCCUAAAGCCCUUAGCCCUAACUGACCUUCCUGCCCAGCCCAGCCCAGCCCAGCCCAGCCAGGCCCCAGACCCAGUGGCUUCUUGAAUGUUUUGGCUGUGCAGCUGGCUCCUUGUCACCUGCCCCCUUCCCAACCUUCCCCAGCUGGCAGCCUCUGACUCCUGGUCUAUGAGGGUGAGGCUGGGGGCUGGGGGACCCCUGGCAUAAGGGGUGUCCUCUGGCAGUCCUGCCCCAGCUGGAGGGCUGUACCCAACAGGUGCCCAGGCUUAGAGGCGAGGUGAUGUUGGACACACCCUGUCCGCUCGCCCACAUGCCCUGCCCGGGCCAGCCUGGGUACAUGUGUUCACAUGCCGAUGUCCUGGGAAGGCACAGGCCCUGGGGCUGGUGCUAGCUUUGUUCUCUGAUCCCGUGAGGCACCCAUGGCCCUCUGCCCUUGCAGCACGUCCUCUGGGAGCUCCUUCAAGACCCCAACAGGCAGGCCUUGCCUGUGGAUCUAGAGGGGGCCCUAAAAUAGGUGCCGGCCUGGCCUGGGGCUGGCACGCGGAGCACAUGCGUGACAGGGCGUGUCCAGAGGGUCGGGCCUGUCUGUGCUGGCCUGGCCACUGAGCCUCCGCCGACCCUUGCUCGCUGGAGAAAGACAGCAGAGGCGGAUGCUUUAGGAGGGACCCCCGUGUCGUGCCCACCCUCUAACAAUGCAAGUGGACGCCAGAUGUUCCAUGCAGACCGCAGCUGCGGGGCAGGCCCCCAUCUAUCUGCAAUCCCAGGGUAAUUAGCCCGGUGGGUACACUGGGGUGACCCGCUCGCCCGAUCUAGGUGGUGCUUUGAUACCUCUUAAAGCAUUUUUUGGAGUUUGCCCUUCACCUUGGAAAGCUGGGUGGGGGAUUCUGUCCUCCAUGAAUAACGGCGCCAGGAACCUUGGGCGAUCUUGAGAAAACUCCUUCCUGUAACCUCUGUUUUCCACGUUGGAUGUGUUUUAGGCCACAGUCAGGCCUGGCUUUUUUUUUUUUUUUUUUUUAAGACUUAUUCCAUGACCUUAAGCCCCAGUCUGAAUCUCUGAGCCUUAAUUAUUCUAUCUAUAAAUGGGAAGCAUUUGGAAAUGGGACGGAGAGAAGUGUACACUUUGCCCCUGGCCGCCUUCUUCCCUCCUGGUGUCCUGGGUGGACACGGAGGUGUGUCUGGGGAAGGUGUGUCCUUUAGGGCCGGUCGCCUGGGAAGGAUGUUGAGCGGAGGGCAGUGGGUGUGGGUGAGAAUCCCUGGGCAGAGAAGGGCGCCGCCAUGCUGGGCACGGCUGAGUCACGCUCCAGCGACGCCUUGCCCCAGGGUGCUGGAGCUGGCGCCACCCUGGGUGUGGUCACUGAGCUGUGGCCCUGGGCAGAGCAGGGCUGGGUGGUCUAGGAUGUGGGGCCUCGGUGCCUGGGGAACUGACUUCGAAGAUGCCAAGCCCCCUGGCCUCCCGCCUGGCCUAGGUUCUGGGGUCACCCUCCAGGACUGUGGUGGCCCACACCCUGAGAAUGCCUUGGAGAGCCUAGAGGCCCUGAGCCUUGGGCCUGGGAAUCGGUGCGUUGAGGGAGGUGGAUAGGGCGCAGACACCAGUGACUGCAUUCAAGGCCAGGGGACCCCCACAGCCAGGCCCUCACUGCAAAAUGUACCUAUGUGGGGAGAAGGCAGGGGUGGACCUGAUGACGGGGUGUACCACUCUACUAAGGGUUCCCAACAUGAAGGUGAGGGGGCCCCUGGGAAUUCUGUGAUUGGUCUGGGAAAGAUUAAAGUCUAAGUGGGGGUUAGAGUGUGGACUGGCGGGACGCAAUGGGGGCUGGGAUGUCACUUUCAUGGUUCCCCUAUUUAUAACAAGUGAUUCAGCCCUCACUUACUCACCCCUUCCUGAGCCUCCCCCCACCCCAGCCCUGGGUGGGCAGCGGGGCCCACCCACUUGUCAGUGCCCUGACUUUCCCUACCCAGUGCCACCCUCUGAGGGCUGCCCAUCGGGGCGGUUGUUAUUGUCGCUGCACUGGGAUUGGGGCAGAGGGGCG
rnacentral:lncRNA from 10 species